rnacentral:rRNA from 1 species
AAUCAACGCUGGCGGCGUGCCUAACACAUGCAAGUCGAACGCGAAAGUCCCGCAAGGGAUGAGUAGAGUGGCAAACGGGUGAGUAACACGUGGGUGACCUGCCUUCGAGCGGGGGAUAACGUCCCGAAAGGGACGCUAAUACCGCAUGACAUCCUGCCUUUGAAGAGGUGGAGAUCAAAGCUGGGGAUCGCAAGACCUAGCACUUGAAGAGGGGCCCGCGUCUGAUUAGCUAGUUGGUGGGGUAACGGCUCAC